rnacentral:misc_RNA from 1 species
GAACGCACCUUGCACCCUUUGGUAUUCCGAAGGGUAUGCCCGUUUGAGUGUCAUUGUAAUCUCACACUUGAGUUUUUCUCAAGAGGUGGACUUGAAGGUUGCUGUGUGAACGGCUCCUUUUAAAAGCAUUAGUGAUGUGCAUCUCGCAUUACAAACCAGUGUAAUAAGAUUCCGCUGGGGUGAAAGGCUUGAUAAAUCGCUUCAAACCGUCCAUUGAAUUGGACUGCCGCUUGCGGUAAUUGACAACUUGACCUCAAAUCGGGUAGGACUACCCGCUGAACUUAAG